UACGUAGGUGGCAAGCGUUGUCCGGAUUUACUGGGCGUAAAGAGCGCGCAGGCGGUCGUUCAAGUCGCGUGUGAAAGCCCCCGGCUCAACUGGGGAGGGUCACGCGAUACUGAUCGACUCGAAGGCAGGAGAGGGUAGUGGAAUUCCCGGUGUAGUGGUGAAAUGCGUAGAGAUCGGGAGGAAUACCAGUGGCGAAGGCGGCCUUCUGGACUGACACUGACGCUGAGGCGCGAAAGCCAGGGGAGCAAACGGG
rnacentral:rRNA from 1 species